UACGGAGGAUCCAAGCGUUAUCCGGAUUCACUGGGUUUAAAGGGUGCGUAGGUGGCAUGACAAGUCAGUGGUGAAAACCUGCAGCUUAACUGUAGAACUGCCAUUGAUACUGUUAUUCUUGAGUACAUUUGAUGUGAGUGGAAUGUGUCGUGUAGCGGUGAAAUGCUUAGAUAUGACACAGAACACCAAUUGCGAAGGCAGCUCACAAAACUGUAACUGACACUGAGGCACGAAAGCGUGGGGAUCAAACAGG
rnacentral:rRNA from 1 species